CUAUGGUAUUUAAUCGCGAUAUAUAAGCCGGGCCUAAUAUGCUCUGGAGAUGAAUUAAAUCAUUCGCUAGCGUUUCUUCGUUCGAUGGUUGGUAGACGUAGCUGAUAGAUUCUGCCUGAAUAAUAUUAGUCUUGCCUGCCGGCAGUGCCGUUGCUCGAUAAUAACAUCUGAAAAGCAAUCUAUUGAUGCAUUGGGUCAGAAAGUAUCAGUUGUGGGUACCCAAGCAGCCUAGGAGCUGGACAAAAAGUCGGAUGUACGUCGAGACCGAAGCCAUCGAUUUGAAUGCAUACCGUUCACAUUGACCACAAACGGGAUACGCUUUAUCACACUUCUUCUUCCGCUCGCUACAUUUUAAGCAUGCCGAUUGGGCCAGCAUAUUGCGGAUAUCGUGGGCCAACACGCCUUCCUGAUUACUCUUGGAUCGAAAUACGUGAUGCAACUGUAC
rnacentral:lncRNA from 1 species